GGGUGUACUUCGUUUUUUCCAGCACUUUCCAUGAAAAACACGCCUACAAAGUGACGUCACGUGCGUGUCAAACGCAGUCCUCGCCGCACAGAUGUCGCGCCCAUUGGUCGCGCCGUAGAGCAGGCUACUCGGAUUACCACAAAUGAGCCACAAACUGUUCAAACACAGACAAAUACUAUGGUAACCAAAUUCUAACAUACAUGAAUACAGGGAGCUAUGCCUUUUCUAUAAUUAAAAGACAACUCAUUGCUGAAGGUGACAAAGAAUGUCAAGGAAGCAGUGGUGUGGUGGAGGCUAUACGCAGGCCAAUGAUCCCAACCCACCUCCAGGCUGUGUAAGGGCUAUUUGACCAAGAAGGAGAGUGAUGGAGUGCUGCAUCAGAUGACCUGGCCUCCACAAUCACCCGACCUCUACCCGUUUCAGAUGGUUGGACCGCAGAGUGAAGGAAAAGCAGCCAACAAGUGCUCAGCAUAUGUGUGAACUCCUUCAAGACUGUUGGCAAAUCAUUCCAGGUGAAGCUGGUUGAGAGAAUGCCAAGAGUGUGCAAAGCUGUCAUCAAGGCAAAGGGUGGAAACUUUGAAUAAUCUGUUUAACACUUUUUUGGUUACUAAAUAUGUGUUAUUUCAUAGCUUUGAUGUCUUCACUAUUAUUCUACAAGGUAGAAAAUAAUUUAAAAAAAUGGAAAAUGAGUAGGUGUCCAAACUUUUGACUGGUACUGUAUAUCUGUCAGAGUGUAUUCUCAUCUCUUCACCAAAUAAACACAGUUAUACUAAAGUUAUACUUAAGUUGCGUUGAUGAAGAAAUAUAACACAAUUUGUAUUUAAUAGUUUCCUGUACCUUUACCCAUCCUCCUGCAGUAUCCAUGCUCCUGCACCUAUCAUCACAAGAUACAGGUACAGUAUGCUAGAAUGCCGAACAAAUACCAUGCCAACCAUAACUUUUUUUUUAAUACAGCCAAGCUAUUCUUUUUAUGAGUUCUGUCAUGUAUUUUUUUAAAUCUUAAAAAAAAAUCUCCACUAGACUCUUUGAUGCAGGACCUACAGGAGCUGAUGAGGAGUUUCACUGGGCCAUAUUGUCACGUAACCCCAAAGGUGACUUGGGCAGAGAGGCAGGCCUUGUGUGCACAAAAGUGGGGGGAAAGAGAGAGGCAAUGGUGGACAGCAUGUUCUCUGCUGAAGGUACUGUGUUGGGCCGGUGUCAGUAUUGCAACAGUGAGGAUGCUGUUGUGCAGUGCAGAGAUUGACUGCCGAGGCAUCUUCUCUGUGCUGCAUGUGACAUAGCCACUCAUAGCACCAAGGUUUUGCACAACAGGGAGACUCUGUUUGAAGGGUUUUAUCACCCCUUAUCCCCAACCACCGUAAUUCAUCAGGAUGAUGACGGGUCCCUUACCUUCCAGGAGCAAGGUGUGUUUAUUGUUUUGGUGUUUCAAAUUAAAUCUGAUAGCACCUCCUGCAAUACCAUCUUUUUAGUCAUGCUGCACAAUUUUCAAUGCAUCAGUAUUUACAGUCCAAAUAUAUAGAACAAUUUGAUUGUCAUUCUUUGGUGUCACAUUUUGGUUUCUAGUUUGUCUUUUGCCCAUGGCUGUGUCACAGCUGUGUGGUUGGUCCUCCAGCGCCCCGACAGUGACAAGGAGGUCAUCCUGAUUGGAAAAAAUGGGUGCUACAACCUGUCCCUUCCUGAUCUGAACUGCUCCAGAUGUCUGAGACAUUGGAGAGUGGGGCUGGACGAACUUGUAAAGAGUGUCUACUGGCCAGCCACCGUGACUCACCAGACGAUCUACAAAGUGUACCUAUUCAAGUCAGUGGCCCCAGGAUGCUCCCGUCAAGACUUUGUGGGAAUGUUUGAUGGAACAACAAAGCACUUUGGCAGGUCUGACUCUCUAUGUAGUGUUGAGGAGGGCUUCAUGAUGGUGUCUUCCUGGCGAAAGACAAUGAUGUGUCAUCCUUCAUCAAACAUGUCCAUACAAAGACCAAUCAUAUGCCAGGCAAAGGAGUGUGUGUCACGUCAGAGUGGACAGUGGCCAAAGAGACAUCAGGAAAAUCAUCUUCCAAAGUAGAUGAGGGGCUUGAGACAGCAGUUUGCCAACACGGUGUGCUCCUCAAGGCCCUCAACGUACAGAGUACAGGACAGACAUUAUCACACUACUGGCAAGGGGCUGGAACAAGAGGAAGUUCACCAACAUGGACCGCAUGUUGGCAAAAAGAUACAGUACCAAAAGUUUGGACACACCUACUCAUUCAAGAGUUUUCUUUAUUUUGACUAUUUUCUACAUUGUAGAAUAAUGAAGACAUUUAAACUAUGAAAUAACAUAUGGAAUCAUGUAGUAACCAAAAAAAGUGUUAAACAAAUCAAAAUAUAUUUUAGAUUCAUCAAAGUAGCCACCCUUUGCCUUGAUUAAGGUUUAGCACACUCUUGCAUUCUCUCAACCAGCUUCAUGAGGAAUGCUUUUCCAACAGUCUUGAAGGAGUUCCCACAUAUGCUGAGCACUUGUUGGCUGCUUGUUCUUCACUCUGCGGUCCAACUCAUUCCAAACCAUCUCAAUUGGGUUGAGGUUUGGUGAUUGUGGAGGCCAGGACCUCUGAUGCAGCACUCCAUCACUCGCCUUCUUACACAGCCUGGAUGUGUGUUGUGUCAUUGUCCUGUUGAAAAACAAAUGAUAGUCCUACUAAGCGCAAACCAGAUGGGAUGGCGUAUCGGUGCAGAAUGCUGUGGUAGCUAUGCUGUGUAAGUGUACCUUGAAUUCUAAUUAAAUCACCAAUUCACCAACACCAAUUCUGGUUGAAAGAAUGCCAAGAUUGUGCAAAGCGGUCAUCAAAAUCAAAUGUAUUUAUAUAGCCCUUCUUACAUCAGCUGAUAUAUCAAAGUGCUGUACAGAAACCCAGCCUAAAACCCCAAACAGCAAGCAAUGCAGGUGUAGAAGCACGGUGGCUAGGAAAAACUCCCUAGAAAGGCCAAAACCUAGGAAGAAACCUAGAGAGGAACCAGGCUAUGAGGGGUGGCCAGUUCUCUUCUGGCUGUGCCGGGUAGAGAUUAUAACAACAUGGCCAAGAUGUUCAAAUGUUCAUAAAUGACCAGCAUGGUCAAAUAAUAAUAAUCACAGUAGUUGUCGAGGGUGCAACAAGUCAGCACCUCAGGAGUAAAUGUCAGUUGGCUUUUCAUAGCCGAUUAUUGAGAGUAUCUCUACCACUCCUGCUGUCUCUAGAGAGUUGAAAACAGCAGGUCUGGGACAGGUAGCACGUCCGGUGAACAGGUCAGGGUUCCAUAGCCACAGGCAGAACAGUUGAAACUGGAGCAGCAGCACGGCCAGGUGGACUGGGGGCAGCAAGGAGUCAUCAUGCCAGGUAGUCCUGAGGCAUGGUCCUAUGGCUCAGGUCCCCCGAGAGAGAGAAAUAAAGAAAGAGAGAAAGAGAGAAUUAGAGAGAGCAUACUUAAAUUCACACAGGACACCGGAUAAGACAGCAGAAAUACUCCAGAUAUAACAGACUGACCCUAGCCCCCCGACACAUGAACUACUGCAGCAUAAAUACUGGAGGCUGAGACAGGAGGGGUCAGGAGACACUGUGGGCUCAUCUGAUGAUACCUCCGGACAGGCCCAAACAGGCAGGAUAUAACCCCACCCACUUUGCCAAAGCACAGCCCCCACACCACUAGAGGGAUAUCUUCAACCACAAACUUACAAUACUGAAACAAGGCCGAGUAUAGCCCACAAAGAUGUCCGCCACGGCACAACCCAAGGGGGGCGCCAACCCAGAGAAGAAGACCACGUCAGCGACUCAACCCACUCAAGUGAGGCACCCCUCCUAGGGACGGCAUGGAAGAGCACCAGUAAGCCAGUGACUCAGUCCUUGUAAUAGGGUUAGAGGCAGAGAAUCUCCGUGGAGAGAGGGGAACAGGCCAGGCAGAGACAGCAAGGGCGGUUCGUUGCUCCAGAGCCUUUCCGUUCACUUUCACACUCCUGGGCCAGACUACACUCAAUCAUAUGACCUACUGAAGAGAUGAGUCUUCAAUAAAGACUUAAAGGUUGAGACCGAGUCUGCGUCUCUUACAUGGGUAGGUAGACCAUUCCAUAAAAAUGGAGCUCUAUAGGAAAAAGCCCUGCCUCCAGCCGUUUGCUUAGAAAUUCUAGGGACAAUUAGGAGGCCUGCAUCUUGUGACCGUAGCAUACAUGUAGGUAUGUACGGCAGGAACAAAAUCGGAAAGAUAGGUAGGAGCAAACCCAUGUAAUGCUUUGUAGGUUAGCAGUAAAAUCUUGAAAUCAGCCCUUGCCUUAACAGGAAGCCAGUGUAGGGAGGCUAGCACUGGAGUAAUAUAAUAUAUUCUUUUGCUUCUUGUCAGGAUUCUAGCAGCCUUAUUUAGCACGAACUGAAGUUUAUUUAGUGAAUAAUCCGGGUAGCCGGAAAGUAGAGCAUUGCAGUAGUCUAACCUAGAAGUAACAAAAGCAUGGAUUAAUUUUUCUGCAUCAUUUUUGGACAGAAAGUUUCAAAAUGUUGCAAUGUUACGUAGAUGGAAAAAAGCGGUCCUUGAAACAGUCUUGAUAUGUUCGUCAAAAGAGAGAUCAGGGUCCAGAGUAACACCGAGGUCCUUCACAGUUUUAUUUGAGACGACUGUACAACCAUCAAGAUUAAUUGUCAGAUUCAACAGAAGAGCUCUUUGUUUCUUGGGAUCUAGAAAAAGCAUCUCUGUUUUGUCCGAGUUUAAAAGUAGAAAGUUUGCAGCCAUCCACUUCCUUAUGUCUGAAACACAGGAUUCUAGCAAGGGCAAUUUUGGGGCUUCACCAUGUUUCAUUGAAAUGUACAGCUGUGUGUCAUCCGCAUAGCAGUGAAGUUAACAUUAUUUUUUCGAAUGACAUCCCCAAGAGGUCAAAUAUAUAGUGAAAACAAUAGUGGUCAUAAAAUGGGAACCUUGAGGAACAUCGAAAUGUACAGGUGAUUUGUCAGAGGACAAACCAUUCACAGAGACAAAUUGAUAUCUUUCCGAUAGAUAAGAUCUAAACCAUCAAGGCAAAGGGUGGCUACUUUGAAGAAUCUCAAAUAUAAAAUGUAUUUUGAUUUGUUUAACACUUUUUUGGUUACUACGUGAUUCCAUAUGUGUUAUUUCAUAGUUUUGAUGUCGUCACUAUAGUUCUACAAUGUAGAAAAUAGUAAAAAUAAAGAAAAAGCCUUGAAUGAGUAGGUGUGUCCAAACUUUUGACUGGUACUGUAUAUUCACAUGUGCGCCGCACACACAGCCUAUUUACAGCGGAAUAUUAUCAAGAGCGCGCAGUUCUCAACUGGUUGUUGCAUGGAGCAGCUCACAGAAGAAUGACCACUGUUGUAAAGUGACAAACACAGUAGCUUUAUGACUCUAAAACCUAAUUAACCUAAUAAUUAAAUGUAACAUAUUUGAACCAAAAUGUAUAUUCUAUUUUAAUCUAUCAGGCAGGUGGAGUUGACAGUUUAUGGUUGUGACCAUGGUGAUUCCAAUAUUGUUUGUUUAAAUCUAUCAAAAGUAGAGAACUUUCCAGACCAUGAGUGUUCUUGUUGCACUACAUGUUAUGAGGACAUGAAUAAGGGGUCCUUAUGGUAUAGCUGGCCCUGCUCAUUCCUAAUUCAUUCAGGAUUUUAGACAAAUGUGACAGAGUAAACCAAAUCUCCGGACACAGCUUUUAGGAAGGAAUCUCCGUACAUAACUUUUAGUUUUGAGAUAAAUAUUCACACGGGGCUAUUGCAAGUAACUACAUACUAUCAAUUUUCAGUUAAUAUACAUUUUUGACAGUUUUUAGAUUAGUAUUUUUUGGGGUUGAGUUUGAAAUGGGGAUCUUUUGCUUUCAACAUGGAAAUGAAUAAUAUUGAAAGUAUUUCUAAAAUUCCCUAAACAAAUAUUUCCCGCUAAAUCUACAUUUAAAUCAAAUAAUAACAAAAAAAUGUUUUUCCAACUAUAAAAAUAAAGUUUCCCUGCCAGACAAGGACUGUCCCGACUUUCAAAAAUCCCUAUGCUAAUAUCCUUCUAUCCUACACAUUUUGCCAUGAGACUGACAUAAAAAAAUUAUGUUUUAAAGCUAAUUUCCUGUAAUAAAAAAUAAACAAAUAA